rnacentral:rRNA from 1 species
GUGCCAGCAGCCGCGGUAAUACGUAGGUGGCAAGCGUUGUCCGGAUUUAUUGGGCGUAAAGCGAGCGCAGGCGGUUCUUUAAGUCUGAUGUGAAAGCCCCCGGCUCAACCGGGGAGGGUCAUUGGAAACUGGAGAACUUGAGUGCAGAAGAGGAGAGUGGAAUUCCACGUGUAGCGGUGAAAUGCGUAGAUAUGUGGAGGACACCAGUGGCGAAGGCGACUCUCUGGUCUGUAACUGACGCUGAGGC